GCUCUGAGUUCCAGGGAUUCAUUUCUUUCCCCAAAUCCAGCCUACUUUGCGGGGUAGGAUCAGGUCAGCUGAGUCAUCUUAACAAAAGUCACUGCAUUUUACUUUUCUAAGUCACCCCUCUUGGCCUUCCAGGGACUUUCCUUUAUUUUGACACCAUUUCAGCAAAAACCAUUGAACAGGGAUAACUCUUUUCCGUGGAGUAUUUGACUGCUUUCCUCAAAGUCUCCUCUACUCCUAGGGAAGGAAGGAGACUGUGAACAUGAGUUGGAGCAGGCAGUUUUAUGGAAUAGGUUGAUCCGUCAGGCCUUUUGUGUGUGUAGGCUAUCUGUCUCAUAGCAUGGGAACUGAUGGACUCUGCUCCCAGGACAUACUGGUGCUGUUAUCUGGUGAAGUGCAGCUGAUACUUUAGCUCUGAGAUGAAUUUUACUUGGGAUACGACCAGCCAACGUUUCAGGAGAGCUUCACUUACUCUUUCAGCUUGGGCCUCGAACCUAGAGUACAUCACUUCUGCUGCAUCCUGUUGGUUACAGCCACCAUCAAACCUGCCCAGACUUCAGGAGAAGGAACAUACAUUAGGAGUAAGAACUUGGUUGGUUCUCAGUCUAAUGCCUACGAAAAAAGGUACCAGCAACACAGAAGUUCCUUGAAGGAUGCUAAAACUUUUCUCUUGAUAACCAUGACUGAAGAUUAAUGCUUUAGGGAUAGGCAGGGAUGCUGAAUGAGGCCAGCUUGCCAGUCUCUAUAUGACCUCAAGUUUAGAAAGUGACAGUGACAGAAGCAUAAUUUUGGAUACCCAUACAUGUUAAGGGAAACUAAGAUCCACAAGCCGAUGAAGAUGUGGUCUGGGCUUCAUCUUUGCUGCCUGCCAGAGUAGCUCAGGGCAAAAACCUUAAAAUGAUGCCAGCCUCUUUUGCCAAUUGCCCCCCAUAGAUGGUCCCUUGCAGCCUGGGAAACAGGGAAACCAAGAGUCACGGAUGUCAUUUACACCAGAAGAGUCAAGCCCUUGGAAGAGCAGCUGCCUUCCUUCCUUUGCUAUACCAGGAGCUCCUGGGAGUUACAGGAAGCUCCAGUUACCACUGCCUCCAUCAGACGGGAUCCUUCUUCAGGAAUGCAAGCUUUGACAUUGCAUCUCCAGUGGCAGUCUCUUCUGUACUCCCAGCACUUAGCAUGUAGGCCCUGGAGGAAUCCAGAAGCAGUGGCUCCUUCCUUCCUACCAAGGCAGGAAUGUUAAGUCACCUCUUCAUGACUAUACCUCUGCCCCCCAUUAUUGUUAUCUCUCUUUCCAGUCACAAGCACUCCUGAGAAAUAAACUUCAGAUACGAUGUGCACUGACUCUCCUUCCAUGUUUUUUUCCAGCUCAGCACCUGAAGUGCCCAUUCCAUUUAAUUAUUCUCUGAGACACUGAAGAUGGGAGGAGGCUAUCUUUAGUGGAUCCCAAA
rnacentral:lncRNA from 1 species